GUAUAGAGCCCUUUGUACUCAUAAAUUUUCUGCCGUUAAGAUCAACCCUUUUGAUGAUUUUCGUCCGAUAGAUCAUACUAUUCAACCAAUCACCCACUCAACCCUAAGGAACCACUAUCAUUCUAACUGGGGACCACCAUCAUCAUAACUGUACAUUUUUUCAUCCAACGGCAGAAAACUUAUAAGUACAAAAGUCUCUAUACUAUAUAUGCUCUAUACUAUAUAUAUAUAGGCUAGGGUUACUAUACUCUUAUGAGUAUAGAUCCCCUUAUACUCAUAAAGUUUUAACCGUUGAUUGAUGGGAUGUGCGGUUAGGAUUAUGGUGGUCCCCACUUAAAAUGAUAGUGGUUCCCUAGGGUUGAGUAGGUAGUUGGUUGAAUAGUAUGAUUUAACGGGUGGAAAUGAUUAAUGAAAUAAAUCUAAGGGCCAAAAACUUAUGAGUAUAAGAAAGCCAAUACUCAUAAAAGUAUAGUAGCCGGACUCAUAUAUAUAUAUAUAUAUACAU
rnacentral:lncRNA from 1 species